AAUGGGUCAGCGACUUAUAUUCUGUAGCAAGGUUAACCGAAUAGGGGAGCCGAAGGGAAACCGAGUCUUAACUGGGCGUUAAGUUGCAGGGUAUAGACCCGAAACCCGGUGAUCUAGCCAUGGGCAGGUUGAAGGUUGGGUAACACUAACUGGAGGACCGAACCGACUAAUGUUGAAAAAUUAGCGGAUGACUUGUGGCUGGGGGUGAAAGGCCAAUCAAACCGGGAGAUAGCUGGUUCUCCCCGAAAGCUAUUUAGGUAGCGCCUCGUGAAUUCAUCUCCGGGGGUAGAGCACUGUUUCGGCAAGGGGGUCAUCCCGACUUACCAACCCGAUGCAAACUGCGAAUACCGGAGAAUG
rnacentral:rRNA from 1 species